rnacentral:rRNA from 1 species
GAUGAACGCUGACAGAAUGCUUAACACAUGCAAGUCAACUUGAAUUUGGGUUUUUAACUUAGAUUUGGGUGGCGGACGGGUGAGUAACGCGUAAAGAACUUGCCUCACAGCUAGGGACAACAUUUAGAAAUGAAUGCUAAUACCUGAUAUUAUGAUUUUAAGGCAUCUUAGAAUUAUGAAAGCUAUAAGCACUGUGAGAGAGCUUUGCGUCCCAUUAGCUAGUUGGAGAGGUAACAGCUCACCAAGGCGAUGAUGGGUAGCCGGCCUGAGAGGGUGAACGGCCACAAGGGGACUGAGACACGGCCCUUACUCCUACGGGAGGCAGCAGUGGGGGAUAUUGGACAAUGGACCGAGAGUCUGAUCCAGCAAUUCUGUGUGCACGAUGAAGUUUUUCGGAAUGUAAAGUGCUUUCAGUUGGGAAGAAAUAAAUGACGGUACCAACAGAAGAAGUGACGGCUAAAUACGUGCCAGCAGCCGCGGUAAUACGUAUGUCACGAGCGUUAUCCGGAUUUAUUGGGCGUAAAGCGCGUCUAGGUGGUUAUGUAAGUCUGAUGUGAAAAUGCAGGGCUCAACUCUGUAUUGCGUUGGAAACUGUAUAACUAGAGUACUGGAGAGGUAAGCGGAACUACAAGUGUAGAGGUGAAAUUCGUAGAUAUUUGUAGGAAUGCCGAUGGGGAAGCCAGCUUACUGGACAGAUACUGACGCUAAAGCGCGAAAGCGUGG